AUGUAUAGCAAAGGCCGGGAUAGCUCAGUUGGUAGAGCAGAGGACUGAAAA
rnacentral:tRNA from 1 species